rnacentral:rRNA from 1 species
ACCUGGGAACUGCGUUUGUGACUGCGAGACUGGAGUGUGGCAGAGGGGGGUGGAAUUCCACGUGUAGCAGUGAAAUGCGUAGAGAUGUGGAGGAACACCGAUGGCGAAGGCAGCCCCCUGGGUUAACACUGACGCUCAUGCACGAAAGCGUGGGGAGCAAACAGGAUUAGAUACCCUGGUAGUCCACGCCCUAAACGAUGCGAACUAGGUGUUGGAGAAGGAGACUUCUUUAGUACCGUAGCUAACGCGUGAAGUUCGCCGCCUGGGGAGUACGGUCGCAAGAUUAAAACUCAAAGGAAUUGACGGGGACCCGCACAAGCGGUGGAUGAUGUGGAUUAAUUCGAUGCAACGCGAAAAACCUUACCUACCCUUGACAUGCCAGGAACCCUGCUGAGAGGUGGGGGUGCUCGAAAGAGAGCCUGGGCACAGGUGCUGCAUGGCUGUCGCCAGCUCGUGUCGUGAGAUGUUGGGUUAAGUCCCGCAACGAGCGCAACCCUUGUCAUUAGUUGCCAUCAUUUAGUUGGGCACUCUAAUGAGACUGCCGGUGACAAGCCGGAGGAAGGUGGGGAUGACGUCAAGUCCUCAUGGCCCUUAUGGGUAGGGCUUCACACGUCAUACAAUGGUCGGUACAGAGGGUUGCCAAGCCGCGAGGUGGAGCCAAUCCCAGAAAGCCGAUCGUAGUCCGGAUCGUAGUCUGCAACUCGACUGCGUGAAGUCGGAAUCGCUAGUAAUCGUGGAUCAGCAUGCCACGGUGAAUACGUUCCCGGGUCUUGUACACACCGC